UAUGGUCAAGUGACAAAGCGUGCACGGUGGAUGCCUAGGCAGUCAGAGGCGAUGAAGGACGUUGUAACCUGCGAAAAGGUUUGGGGAGCUGGUAAACGAGCUGUGAUCCAAACAUGUCCGAAUGGGGAAACCCACUCUAUUUAUAGAGUAUCUUUACACUGAAUACAUAGGUGUUUAGAGGCGAACCCGGGGAACUGAAACAUCUAAGUACCCGGAGGAAAAGAAAUCAACCGAGAUUCCCUAAGUAGCGGCGAGCGAACGGGGAACAGCCCUUAAGUUGAGAUGUGGUUAGCAGAACGCACUGGAAAGUGCGGCCGUAGUGGGUGAUAGCCCCGUAUGCAAAAACCUAUUUUCAAUGAAAUCGAGUAGGACGGGACACGUGUUAUCCUGUCUGAACAUGGGGGGACCAUCCUCCAAGGCUAAAUACUCCUGACUGACCGAUAGUGAACCAGUACCGUGAGGGAAAGGCGAAAAGAACCCCUGUGAGGGGAGUGAAAUAGAUCCUGAAACCGUGUACGUACAAGCAGUGGGAGCGGUCCUUGAGACCGUGACUGCGUACCUUUUGUAUAAUGGGUCAGCGACUUAAUUUCAGUAGCAAGCUUAACCGUUUAGGGGAGGCGUAGGGAAACCGAGUCUUAAUAGGGCGUAUAGUUGCUGGGAUUAGACCCGAAACCGAGCGAUCUAUCCAUGGGCAGGUUGAAGGUUGAGUAACAUCAACUGGAGGACCGAACCGACUGUCGUUGAAAAGCCAGCGGAUGACCUGUGGAUCGGAGUGAAAGGCUAAUCAAGCUCGGAGAUAGCUGGUUCUCCUCGAAAGCUAUUUAGGUAGCGCCUCGUGUCUCACCAUUGGGGGUAGAGCACUGUUUCGGCUAGGGGGUCAUCCCGACUUACCAACCCGAUGCAAACUCCGAAUACCAAUGAGUGCAAUCACGGGAGACACACGGCGGGUGCUAACGUCCGUCGUGAAAAGGGAAACAACCCAGACCGCCAGCUAAGGUCCCCAAGUUCUAGUUAAGUGGGAAACGAUGUGGGAAGGCUCAGACAGCUAGGAGGUUGGCUUAGAAGCAGCCACCCUUUAAAGAAAGCGUAAUAGCUCACUAGUCGAGUCGGCCUGCGCGGAAGAUAUAACGGGGCUAAAACUAGACACCGAAGCUGCGGAUGCCAUUUAUGGCAUGGUAGAGGAGCGUUCUGUAAGCCGUUGAAGCGGAAGCCGGGAGGCACCGUGGAGGUAUCAGAAGUGCGAAUGCUGACAUGAGUAACGAUAAGGGAGGUGAAAAACCUCCCCGCCGGAAGACCAAGGGUUCCUGUCCAACGCUAUUCGAGGCAGGGUGAGUCGGCCCCUAAGGCGAGGCAGAGAUGCGUAGUCGAUGGGAAACGGGUUAAUAUUCCCGUACUGGUUAUAACUGCGAUGGAGGGACGGAGAAGGCUAGGCAAGCGCGGCGUUGGUUGUCCGCGUUUAAGGUAGUAGGUUUAG
rnacentral:rRNA from 1 species